rnacentral:rRNA from 1 species
AUGAACGCUGGCGGCGUGCCUAAUACAUGCAAGUCGAGCGCACAGACGAGGAGCUUGCUCCUCUGACGUUAGCGGCGGACGGGUGAGUAACACGUGGAUAACCUACCUAUAAGACUGGGAUAACUUCGGGAAACCGGAGCUAAUACCGGAUAAUAUAUUGAACCGCAUGGUUCAAUAGUGAAAGACGGUUUUGCUGUCACUUAUAGAUGGAUCCGCGCCGCAUUAGCUAGUUGGUAAGGUAACGGCUUACCAAGGCAACGAUGCGUAGCCGACCUGAGAGGGUGAUCGGCCACACUGGAACUGAGACACGGUCCAGACUCCUACGGGAGGCAGCAGUAGGGAAUCUUCCGCAAUGGGCGAAAGCCUGACGGAGCAACGCCGCGUGAGUGAUGAAGGUCUUCGGAUCGUAAAACUCUGUUAUUAGGGAAGAACAAAUGCGUAAGUAACUAUGCACGUCUUGACGGUACCUAAUCAGAAAGCCACGGCUAACUACGUG